UUUUUUUUUUUUAGGCACGGAUUGGCUUGGUCUUUGAUCAGAACGUCGGCUAUUAUACUCGAUAAAUUUUCAUUAUCCCUCGUGUCAUCAAUUUCGCGGCACGGAAAUUCAUCGUUGCUCGAACCACGCGAAAAAUAUCCAGGCCAAAGGAACGAACGAGAGAGAGAGAGUGAGAGGGGGGGGGGGCAGGAGGAAAUGGAAGAAGAAAAAUGCGAGAGAAAUAAAAGGGAGGAGACCGAAAAGAGAGCUGUUCGUAUUAGGUCGGUGAGGUGAUGCUUUUAAUAUGUUAUUAAUCAUGUCAAGUACUGUUUUAUUAUUAUGUUAUGAGAUGUAAAUGGUGGGUGGGAAUGACAGGGGAUGAAUGGGACUAUAUCAUUGAGCAGAACAUUUUGAUAAGUUACGACAAGAGAGCAACAAGUUCAGAGGAUUCAUUCAUGCCUCGAAACAGUAGAAAGUAGGGGAAAAAGAGCGGGCACAAAGUGGGACAAAGGACACGUAUAAAUUAGAAUAUAUUCAUUUUGCUACGAUUACUGCACAGAAAAUAAUCGAUUCGAACUGACCAGCAGUCUCCUCGUAUUUAAAUUGCUACAAUCAAUCAGAUCAAAUAAAAAAGAAUCGGACAAAGCUAAGGAAAGGACCGAAGACGCACAAAAAUCAGAAUAAAUUUUAUAAUUAUUCGAUAGACAAUGAUCGAGCGAAACUCAACGUCGAUGGUCUUGCGUAUAAAUUCAAUAAAGGAUGGACGAUGAAAAUUUAUCAACAGUAUCCUCGCAUAAAAGUUCCUCACCUUUUUGACCAAGUAAGAAACCACGCGAAAUGAAGAAAAGAAAUUACACACAGAAAUAAAUUAGAAUGAUUUCUUGUAACUACAUUUAGCGUCACGAUGAUUUCAUAGAAGAUAUAGUGGAUUUAAACUCACCGAUGUCACCGAACUCAAUGUCUUCACGUUGGAAUUCCACCCUUUCGAGCAGGUUGGAUGAAUACUCGUAUGGAGCGCAACUGGUACUGAGCUGUGGCGAAACUAAGGUCCUGGUGCUCCUUCUCCACCACUUGUUCGCUUGCCAGCAGUUUCCAGCUAUGUCGAGCACGAUGCGCAACCUCGAAUAUUUAUGCAACCCUCCCCACCAGCAGGACGAGCUGUUCGAAACGAAAAUUGUUUCAGGACUCGGAAGGUUUUCCCCUUCUCUUCCGACAUUCACCUAUCCGCGCUUCGGCUCGUUUCCUCCCCAGCCACCGACAAAUCUUUUCUCAUACAA